GAUGAACGCUGGCGGCGUGCCUAACACAUGCAAGUCGAGCGAAGCGCCUUACUUGAUUUCUUCGGGAUGAAAGUAUUGUGACUGAGCGGGCGACGGGUGAAGGUACGCGUGGAUAACCUGCCUCAUACAGGGGGAUAACAGUUAGAAAUGACUGCUAAUACCGCAUAAGCCCACGGCCCGGCAUCGGGUUGAGGGAAAAGGAUUUAUUCGCUUCAGGAUGGACUCGCGUCCAAUUAGCUAGUUGGUGAGGUAACGGCCCACCAAGGCGACGAUUGGUAGCCGGACUGAGAGGUUGAACGGCCACAUUGGGACUGAGACACGGCCCAG
rnacentral:rRNA from 1 species